rnacentral:lncRNA from 1 species
CGGUGCUGCCCUCUGCUACUUGCGAGAACUAAGCGUUUUUACGCGUUGUAACACUUGACGAAUACUUUGGUAUAUUUGUUAUUGCGCGCCAACGAUCCGCGCAAAGGUUCGCCAUGUUUCAAGUGAUUCGUUGAACAGUCUCGAAGAGUGGUCGUUCUUUCGAUAUGAUUUAUCGCGAAAGCGAAUGCAAAUGCGUGUUUCGAGGAUUAAUUCGACUCGAUGGUUGCACCGGUUAUCGGUGUCCAUGUUGCUUCGAAUGAGGUUGCCGUCUUAUGCGUAAAGUUUUAGAAGAGAGUUCGCUUAUCUUCAUUUUUGAACGGUAAAGAUACGAAAAUAAACUAAACAAAAAUUAUAUCAAUAGAAUUCGUUUGAAGAAAAUAUAAAAAUUAGCAAGGUUAACUUUUUAAGCCAAAAGAUUUCCAAUCAAAUAUCGGCAACAUUGUCCAAAAAUAACAUUUCACGUUUAAUUUUACGUGAAUUUUACCAUCUCGAACGAGCUGCGAUAUUUUCCUAAAAAGAUUUCCUAUUGUUACAUUUACCAUUACUUUUUAUCCAAGGUAAGUAGGUAACAUAACCUACAAUUAACCAUCGAAAAUUUAUUAAACGAGCACAUUGGAGAGUUUCUUCUAGGAAACGACGUUCCAUGUUCGAUUAAAUCCCCGACACGAUUACGAUUUGCAUCCACUGAGUAUAAUUCCAAUCGAAGUGAUAUACGUCAUACAGAAAAUCACGCUACGAGCUGCCAUUUCGCUGAUAAUGAAUACUAAAUCUGCCAUUAUGCGUGCGCCGAUAAACGCCGCCUUUUCCACCGGCUUAUCAGCAAUAAAUGACUACGAGUACACGAGUCGGGAUUGCUGCAACCGAGAUUGGACGAUAAAAGUCCGCUAAUGAACAACGAUCCCAUUUCUCGACAGUGACGAAAGUUUGCCUCUAGAGAAUUUUGACAGCACACUGUUGGCGCCCUCUAUAUUCAAUGCUACUUAAAACCUUGAGUAAAGAGAGAGAGAGAUUAAGAGAGAGAAAGUAACAGGGGAAUGGAAAUGUAAUGGAGUAAAUUUACGAGAUAUAAAGAAUUGGUAACACGAAUUUCAGAUUAAAAGUUGUUGAAAUAUUGUUGUUUACGAUUCGACCACGUUCUGUUCUUUCGCAAACAGAAUAUCGAAUCUUAAUCUGGAUUUAAAAUGGCGGAUUUCUUUGAGGUUUGAUUCGAGUGCUGAUUGUCAGCACGAACUCGAUAAUCACUGCGGGCACAGAAUGGAAACGGUUACGUGCAGAAAAACACUAUGUUCCUCUUGCCGUAAUUAUAGCUGUUGGUUGAAGGCGACGAAAGGUGCGAAGUGUCGUUAGAUCGUUACCCGGCAGCGCGAGCGACAUCCUUUAACGAACCGAGUCUAUCAUUUGCCGCCAUGAAAUUUUCUACUUUCCACUUCUUGCAGACACCUGUGCCGAUUCGAGCGGAAGGAUGAAUUAAAAUUAAACGUGCAAAUAAUUUAUAACCAUUCUGAUAACAUUUAAUGAUAAAGUAUAUUUUUUUUUUCUAAUUAAGUUUCAAAUAAU